AAGAGUGACGGGCGAUGUGUACACACUUCAGAGCCAAUUUCAAUAAAGAAUUUUAUUCUGAAUUUACUACUAAAUCCACCUUUAUAAUAUAUGUACAUAUAUUAAUCCGUAUAAUUACAAUUUAUUGUAGCUCACUACUCCCAUAUUUAUAAGCUGCACCUUGACCUGAAGUCCUAACUUAAAAUUACUUAGAUUAUAUUUUCUAAAAAUAACCUGACAACGGCGGUAUACAAACUGAAUACAAAAAUAUGUGCAUUUAAACGUGGAUUAUCGAUCCAAGAGCAAGCUCCUCUAGUAAGAAUGAAGUACCGCCAAAUUCUUUAGGUUUGAAUAUUUUUACUACCCAGGCAACAAUUCAAUAGAGAAUAAUAGGGUAUCUAAUCCUAGUUUAUACCCCUAUUUAUAAAGGUAAUGAAUUCCUUAGAAAUUUUUAAUUUAAAAAAUAAAGAUUUUACCCCUAAUUUGUUACCAAAAAAAUCCCGCAAAAAAUUAAUAUUUACUUAAUUCCACCAAGCUAUUUCAUUCAGAUCCUUCGUAUAACC
rnacentral:rRNA from 1 species